AGCUUCAUGGUCAAGUGGUAAGGACACUUGUCUCCCAUCCUGGAGUCCUGGGUUUGAUCCCCGAUUGAGAAGCUA